UACGUAGGGUGCAAGCGUUAUCCGGAAUUAUUGGGCGUAAAGAGCUCGUAGGCGGUUUGUCGCGUCUGCUGUGAAAACUGGAGGCUCAACCUCCAGCCUGCAGUGGGUACGGGCAGACUAGAGUGCGGUAGGGGAGAUUGGAAUUCCUGGUGUAGCGGUGGAAUGCGCAGAUAUCAGGAGGAACACCAAUAGCGAAGGCAGCUCGCUGGGACGUUACUGACACUGAGGCGCGAAAGCGUGGGGAGCGAACAGG
rnacentral:rRNA from 1 species